ensembl:lncRNA
GGAGGGCUGUGGGGAAGAGAGACACGCAAAAAGGGGGGGGGGGAGGGGGGAAGAACCCACCGCCCACACGCACCACCCAGCGGCACCGCGCGGGGAUAACAAACUCCAACUCAAAAAAACUUCCCGAGCGCAUCGGGGAACGCGCAGAGGUUACAAACAAAGGGAAGCAUCAGCAUUAAAAGAAAAGGGAGACAACAACAACAACAAAAAAAAAAAAAGGAGGAGGAAAGCAAACGAACAAAAACCCCGAACCGAACCCAACGCGACGUCCUCAGCUCCACGCAGCGCCGAUCCCGUGAAGUUGGAGCGGGCAGAAACACGCACACGGGGGGGGGGACGACGACCAGAAAACCCACCUUUUUACAACAAAAGGUUUUUCUUUCCGAAAAGGGAAAAAAAUAGAAGAAACGCUCUUAGGAAACGAACGGGACUGCGGGAGCCGAACCUCCUCCCAAAGCACGCCGGGUUUGCGGGGUUGGAAGGCCGACGCCAGAAGAGUUGAAGUUAAGGAAAGCAGCGGGGAGGGGGCGGCCCCGCUUUUCGCUCCCCCCGCUCGUGUGACCCCCAUAACCCCGCAGCAGCGCCGGGGAGGGGUUGAAGUCACACCGCACGCGUUUCUAUGGGGGAAGGGGGGGGAGAAAACAAAGUUGAAAUGUUUUCAUUUCUACCUCUUUUCUUUUUUCCUCCCCGUACAUCGCAAAGAGGCGCACAAAGCGGAGCUGCCGGGGGGUCCCGGAGUGGCCCCCGCCGCCGCCCGGCUCUCACGUGGCCCCGCGGCCGCCCCGGGCGGACACAAAGAGGAUUCGUCGUGGAGGUGUUUCGGGGGGUGCCAUUUUUCUGGUUGGUUUUUUAAUUAUGAUCUCUUCCCCCCCCCCCCCCUCCCGGUUUGUUUGCUUAAUUAUUAUUAAUUUGUUUUUUUUCCCUCUCUCUCUCUGCAAAAAUAAACUCCCAACAUCUUAGAUUUUGUUUCUUUAUUGUACAAUUUAUAAAACAUCGCGCUGCCCUCCCCCCCCCCCCACCCCCCCGCGCCCCCCACCCGCCCCUC